GAUGAACGCUGGCGGCGUGCCUAAUACAUGCAAAUCGAGCGAACAGACGAGGAGCUUGCUCCUCUGACGUUAGCGGCGGACGGGUGAGUAACACGUGGAUAACCUGCCUAUAAGACUGGGAUAACUUCGGGAAACCGGAGCUAAUACCGGAUAAUAUAUUGAACCGCAUGGUUCAAUAGUGAAAGACGGUUUUGCUGUCACUUAUAGAUGGAUCCGCGCCGCAUUAGCUAGUUGGUAAGGUAACGGCUUACCAAGGCAACGAUGCGUAGCCGACCUGAGAGGGUGAUCGGCCACACUGGAACUGAGACACGGUCCAGACUCCUACGGGAGGCAGCAGUAGGGAAUCUUCCGCAAUGGGCGAAAGCCUGACGGAGCAACGCCGCGUGAGUGAUGAAGGUCUUCGGAUCGUAAAACUCUGUUAUUAGGGAAGAACAAAUGUGUAAGUAACUAUGCACGUCUUGACGGUACCUAAUCAGAAAGCCACGGCUAACUACGUG
rnacentral:rRNA from 1 species